rnacentral:rRNA from 1 species
UACAGAGGUCUCAAGCGUUGUUCGGAUUCAUUGGGCGUAAAGGGUGCGCAGGCGGCUAUGUGUGUGAGGCGUGAAAGCCCGGGGCUUAACCCCGGAAUUGCACCUCAAACUACAUGGCUAGAGCAUUGGAGAGGGUAGCGGAAUUCACGGUGUAGCAGUGAAAUGCGUAGAUAUCGUGAGGAACACCAGAGGCGAAGGCGGCUACCUGGACAAUUGCUGACGCUCAGGCACGAAAGCGUGGGGAGCAAACGGG